CCUACGGGAGGCAGCAGUGGGGAAUAUUGGACAAUGGGGGCAACCCUGAUCCAGCCAUGCCGCGUGUGUGAAGAAGGCCCUCGGGUUGUAAAGCACUUUCAGUGAGGAAGAACGCCUGGUGGUUAAUACCCAUCAGGAAAGACAUCACUCACAGAAGAAGCACCGGCUAACUCCGUGCCAGCAGCCGCGGUAAUACGGAGGGUGCGAGCGUUAAUCGGAAUUACUGGGCGUAAAGCGCGCGUAGGUGGCUUGAUAAGCCGGUUGUGAAAGCCCCGGGCUCAACCUGGGAACGGCAUCCGGAACUGUCAAGCUAGAGUGCAGGAGAGGAAGGUAGAAUUCCCGGUGUAGCGGUGAACUGCGUAGAGAUCGGGAGGAAUACCAGUGGCGAAGGCGGCCUUCUGGACUGAAACUGACACUGAGGUGCGAAAGCGUGGGUAGCAAACAGGAUUAGAUACCCGGGUAGUC
rnacentral:rRNA from 1 species